rnacentral:rRNA from 1 species
AGGUAGCGAAAUUCCUUGUCGGGUAAGUUCCGACCCGCACGAAUGGUGUAACGAUCUGGGCACUGUCUCAACUACCCACCCGGCGAAAUUGUAGUACCGGUGAAGAUGCCGGUUACCUGCGGCAAGACGGAAAGACCCCAUGGAGCUUUACUGUAGCCUGAUAUUGGGUUUCGGAAAUCUAUGUACAGGAUAGGCGGGAGACUGGGAAGUAUGAGCGUCAGCUUAUACGGAGUCAUUGUUGGGAUACCGCCCUUAGGUUUCUGGAAUUCUAACCUGCGACCGUGAAUCCGGUCGGGGGACAUUGUCAGGUGGGCAGUUUGACUGGGGCGGUCGCCUCCGAAAAGGUAACGGAGGCGCUCAAAGGUUGGCUCAGCACGGACGGAAACCGUGCCUCAGAGUGUAAACGCAAAAGCCAGCCUAACUGCGAGGAUGACGGUCCGAGCAGUAACGAAAGUUGGAGUUAGUGAUCCGGCGGUAUGUGAAUGGAAAUGCCGUCGCUCAACGGAUAAAAGCUACCCUGGGGAUAACAGGCUGAUCUCCCCCAAGAGUCCACAUCGACGGGGAGGUUUGGCACCUCGAUGUCGGCUCAUCACAUCCUGGGGCUGUAUUCGGUCCCAAGGGUUCGGCUGUUCGCCGAUUAAAGUGGUACGCGAGCUGGGUUCAGAACGUCGCGAGACAGUUCGGUCCCUAUCUGUCGUGGGCGCAGGAUAUUUGAGGAGCUCUGUCCUUAGUACGAGAGGACCGGGAUGGACGUACCUCUGGUGCACCAGUUGUCAUGCCAAUGGCACGGCUGGGCAGCUACGUACGGAACGGAUAAACGCUGAAAGCAUCUAAGCGUGAAGCCGACUCCAAGAUUAGAUAUCCCAUUGCAUAAGCAAGUAAGACCCCUUGAGGACUACGAGGUUGAUAGGCUGCGUGUGUAAGUGUCGUGAGGCAUUUAGCUUGGCAGUACUAAUAGGUCGAGGGCUUGACCAC